ensembl:lncRNA
AACAAAAGAAUGUCACUUUAUGUCUUUAUGUUCUCUACAAAACCUCUGAAGCCUUUUAGAUGCUUUCAAAUAUUCAUCAUGAGGAUCAACUUCCAGAAGAAGCAGAGAGACAGAAGGAGACAAAGGGAGAGACAGAAGGAGAGAGAGGAGCCCUACUGAUCUGGUUGAGGGUCUCCUGAGGGAUCCAGCUGAGGUCCACGUCGUUGUGGCUGGAGGUCCCCAUCUCCACCUUUGGUGCCAAACACGAUUUGUUGGCGCCCAGGGGGUCAACCACUGCGACCUGGCUUUUAGCACAAGACAAUUGUUUACAGAAUCUUUUCACCACUACGAGCAUCUCACACCGGCAGAAAACAAACAAACAACCCAAUGGACGACACAAGAGUCCCUAGUAGAGCACAACGGCGUAGAUUCGGGUGUUCGGUUGCCAACUACCAUGGAUACUACAAUGGACCCGGAAGAGACGCUGCUCGGAGGCUCAUCUGGAACCUCCUCACCUACGUCAACCUUCUACUCCACUGCGUGCUACCUCCUCCGUUAGGUCGACUCUAGCUGCUCUCCACCACC